CAUUAUGUUAUUGUUUUACUAAAAAAACAGGUAUUUAAAAACAUUGUUCUAUUGCUCCCUAAGAUCAUUUAACUAGAGGUGAUUUUGGGGAAUAUUACUAUGUUCUACAUUUUCUUUUUUCUGAAAUAGAAGACAAAGAAAUAAUUCUUAAUACAGCACUUGCCUGAGACCUGGAGAAGGUGCGCAAUUUUUCCAAAGUAUAGUCAGG
rnacentral:misc_RNA from 1 species